rnacentral:rRNA from 1 species
CUCGUAGGCGGCCAACUAAGUCAGACGUGAAAUCCCUCAGCUUAACUGGGGAACUGCGUCUGAUACUGGAUGGCUUGGAUUCGGGAGAGGGAUGCGGAAUUCCAGGUGUAGCGGUGAAAUGCGUAGAUAUCUGGAGGAACACCGGUGGCGAAGGCGGCAUCCUGGACCGAUAUUGACGCUGAGGAGCGAAAGCCAGGGGAGCAAACGGGAUUAGAUACCCCGGUAGUCCUGGCCCUAAACGAUGAAUGCUUGGUGUAGCGGGUAUCGAUCCCUGCUGUGCCGAAGCUAACGCAUUAAGCAUUCCGCCUGGGGAGUACGGUCGCAAGGCUGAA